rnacentral:rRNA from 1 species
UAGGGAAUUUUCCACAAUGGGCGAGAGCCUGAUGGAGCAACGCCGCGUGCAGGAUGAAUGCCUUCGGGUUGUAAACUGCUUUUAUGUGCGAAGAAUUUGACUGUAACACAUGAAUAAGGAUCGGCUAACUACGUGCCAGCAGCCGCGGUCAUACGUAGGAUCCAAGCGUUAUCCGGAAUUACUGGGCGUAAAGAGUUGCGUAGGUGGAUUGUUAAGUGGGGCGUGAAAGUGUACGGCUCAACCGUAUUAUUGCGUUCCAAACUGACAAACUAGAGUGCGAGAGAGGUAGAUGGAAUUCCCAGUGUAGGAGUGAAAUCCGUAGAUAUUGGGAGGAACACCGAUGGCGUAGGCAGUCUACUGGCUCGUUACUGACACUAAGGCACGAAAGCGUGGGGAGCAA